rnacentral:lncRNA from 1 species
AUGGACUUCUUCCAGAUGGGAAACGUGGAACCUAAGGAAAGUGUUGUAGGGCCCAGGAACCUUUUGGUGAGGGCAGAGGAGACAGGAUGGGAGAGUGGCAAUCUUGUCACACUUGUCACUGCAGUUCCUGGUAAGAGGCUGCUCAUCUGCCUAGUGGCAGCACUGCUUCUGGCAGCCACACUUCUGCUGGCAGCAGCCCUUCCCACCGCCACAGCCACAGGAGCGACGGCAACAGGUGCGGCGGUAGCAGCACACCACGGGGGAGCAGCAUCCACAGCAGUUGCCACAGCAGUUGCCACAGAUGCCAGUGCCGCAUGCAGAGGAUUAAACAAGUGAGCCAUGGCGCCAGCCCCUGUAACUCUGCCUUUCAGAUAAAUAAAAAACACUUAAAAAAUAGCA